GGCCGCGUUAGACAGGUGACCGUUUUACAGUUAAAGGCAGCUUUCACAAAUCUGCCUGCCCAACACAAUCCAAAAUUGCAAUGCUUCUUUAAACUUCCACAGACCCUUUGCAUGAUUUUUUUGGUGUUACUUCUACAAAAUGGUCAUUAAAGAGACAUUAUAAACAAGAUGGUGUUGUUUUCUUGAGUUAUUUUCAUGUUUUUGUUGAUUUUAGUGUCAUGAACGUGACAAUUGAGACACACGAAAGUUCCCUAAAAAUAGCAUGCACAUGGCUAAUCUCUAAAUAAAAGUCAAAAGAGGUGGUAGUUGUAAUUUUUUGCGAUGGAAAGUCAAAUAAGUAAAUGUUUUGACAAGUAAAACUAAAUUCCAGACGAAAAGUGAAAAAAUUGUUCAUAAUUUCAAAACAAAUGUUUAGUGCAUUUUUAAAGGUCACGUGGGUCUCCAAACGUGAGGUGACAACAACCCUCAUCAAAGUACAGCAAUUUUGCGUAUCAACUGUUUUUUUGUGUGAAUGUUAUGGAAAUAGGCCUAAAAUUGGUAAGAAAGGGUCAAUUUGUGAUGAGCAACAAAAAUAACGCGUUUUGGUUAAAAAAUCGAGAGCCCGGGUCAUGUGCGUCUCGAUUGUGUCACACCGUAGCGCGCGCAUUCCAAAGAUCGUUCUUUUGUUUCACUGACCGUGGUGCGAUCAAUAUCGGGAUAAAAAAUUCCUCAGACGUCAAGGAAUUGAGGUAGUGGCUCCUGACUUGACCAGAAGACAUAUAUGAGGACAUUGAAGUCCAGUACAUGCACCAAAGAACACAGAUUCCACUUAUUAUACGCUUGACACAGACGACACGUACAUUAUAAACAUACUAGACUUUAAAUGUCAACUCAGUUUCAGUCUUACCCCCUCCAGAAAUCACAGCAAGAGGACAUUAUUUAUUUUACUAUGAUUUUUUUCCUCAUUUUAUCUUAUUAAAAAAGUAAUUUGUAUGGAGCCUAUAGAUAAAUGCUACGUACUGUACUUUAAUUCUUGUGUGAAGGGGUGGGGUUGGGAGAAGGGUGAAGAGUAUUGUUUAUUUUGUUUAUUUACUCACAAAUGCAGCUUCUCUGUACUCAAAAGUAUUCAAUCUAACUCUCACAACUUUUACACUUGAUUACACCCAGAACAUUUAGAAAUACUGGGAGUUGAAAUACAAACAUUUUCAACUAAAAUCAUAAGGGGAGACAACAAAAUAUAUUUUUAACACAAGGGACACAACCCGUAUUUUUUUCUUUCUUAAGAAUAAAUCAAAUAAAAAGGUCACAAUUGUUGUUGGUAUUCAUUCAUGUUUUUAAGCUGUAUCAAGAUAGGCAUAACUAUUGUUAUAGCAAGUUGUUUUUCGUUUAUAUGCAAAAUUCUAUUUAUGUCAUGCAAUACAAUUUCUCAUAUUAUAACAUGGAUUACCAUAAAGGAAUGAAAAUGGGUGUCUGAAUGGAAUUUUUUACUGGUAUUUUCACCUCGAUUUUCUCUUUUAAUAUGGGUCUGCUGUCCCUGUGAUUGAGUUAUUCUUAUU